CUACGGGGGGCUGCAGUAAGGAAUAUUGCGCAAUGGAGGCAACUCUGACGCAGCCAUGCCGCGUGCAGGAAGAAGGCCUUAUGGGUCGUAAACUGCUUUUAUUUAGGAAUAACCCCCUGCUCGUGAGCAGGGCUGAAGGUACUAAAAGAAUAAGCACCGGCUAACUCCGUGCCAGCAGCCGCGGUAAUACGGAGGGUGCAAGCGUUAUCCGGAUUUAUUGGGUUUAAAGGGUGCGCAGGCGGGCUAUUAAGUCAGUGGUGAAAUCCCGGGGCUCAACUCCGGAACUGCCGUUGAUACUGAUAGUCUUGAGUUUGGUUGAAGUGGGCGGAAUGUAGCAUGUAGCGGUGAAAUGCAUAGAUAUGCUACAGAACACCAAUCGCGAAGGCAGCUCACUAAGCCAAAACUGACGCUCAUGCACGAAAGCGUGGGGAGCAAACAGGAUUAGAUACCCGGGUAGUC
rnacentral:rRNA from 1 species